AUUGAACGCUGGCGGCAUGCCUUACACAUGCAAGUCGAACGGCAGCACGGGUGCUUGCACCUGGUGGCGAGUGGCGAACGGGUGAGUAAUACAUCGGAACAUGUCCUGUAGUGGGGGAUAGCCCGGCGAAAGCCGGAUUAAUACCGCAUACGAUCUACGGAUGAAAGCGGGGGACCUUCGGGCCUCGCGCUAUAGGGUUGGCCGAUGGCUGAUUAGCUAGUUGGUGGGGUAAAGGCCUACCAAGGCGACGAUCAGUAGCUGGUCUGAGAGGACGACCAGCCACACUGGGACUGAGACACGGCCCAGACUCCUACGGGAGGCAGCAGUGGGGAAUUUUGGACAAUGGGCGAAAGCCUGAUCCAGCAAUGCCGCGUGUGUGAAGAAGGCCUUCGGGUUGUAAAGCACUUUUGUCCGGAAAGAAAUCCUUGGUUCUAAUAUAGCCGGGGGAUGACGGUACCGG
rnacentral:rRNA from 1 species